GACAGAGGAGGCGAGCGUUAUCCGGAGUUAUUGGGCGUAAAGGGUACGUAGGCGGCUGGUCAAGUCUGGGGUUAAAGACCACAGCUUAACUGUGGGAAGGCCUUGGAAACUGACUGGCUAGAGUGGGGCAGGGGUUGCGGGAAUUCCCGGUGUAGCGGUGAAAUGCGUAGAUAUCGGGAAGAACACCUGAGGCGAAAGCGCGCAACUGGGCCCUAACUGACGCUGAGGUACGAAAGCUAGGGGAGCGAAUGGG
rnacentral:rRNA from 1 species